UACGGAGGAUCCGAGCGUUAUCCGGAUUUAUUGGGUUUAAAGGGUGCGUAGGCGGCCUGUUAAGUCAGGGGUGAAAUACGGUGGCUCAACCAUCGCAGUGCCUUUGAUACUGACGGGCUUGAAUCCAUUUGAAGUGGGCGGAAUAAGACAAGUAGCGGUGAAAUGCAUAGAUAUGUCUUAGAACUCCGAUUGCGAAGGCAGCUCACUAAGCUGGUAUUGACGCUGAUGCACGAAAGCGUGGGGAUCGAAC
rnacentral:rRNA from 1 species